GGGCCUUUAGCUCAGUUGGUUAGAGCUGCAGACUCAUAAUCUGUAGGUCCCUGGUUCAAGUCCAGGAAGGCCCA
rnacentral:tRNA from 1 species